rnacentral:lncRNA from 1 species
GGACUGCGGUGCUCAUCAGACCUGAGCAGUUGCUCCGGCGGCGCUCGGGGAGGGAGCCAGCAGCCUAGGGCCUAGGCCCGGGCCACCAUGGCGCUGCCUCCAGGCCCAGCCGCCCUCCGGCACACACUGCUGCUCCUGCCAGCCCUUCUGAGCUCAGGUACACCCCUGUUCAGUCGUUGACCAAGUCCUUCUGGGUUCCAAAGCCCCCUCUCUCCCCUGUCUGCACUUCUGUUUGGGUACCCACUCCAGGCCCCAAGCCCUGGAGUCCCUGUCCCCUUCACCCACCUACCCUAGGUCCAACCAGCCAGUCCCUGGUGAGAGGACUCAGGUGCCCUUUCCUUUGGCCUGCUGCUCUUCUCACUGGGCCAAUUCCUGGUCACAGCACAGUACCAACCGUGCCUGAGCCCUUCCCAGAGGCCUCCUGCUGUGUUCCAGGUUGGGGGGAGUUGGAGCCACAAAUAGAUGGUCAGACCUGGGCUGAGCGGGCACUUCGGGAGAAUGAACGCCACGCCUUCACCUGCCGGGUGGCAGGGGGGCCUGGCACCCCCAGAUUGGCCUGGUAUCUGGAUGGACAGCUGCAGGAGGCCAGCACCUCAAGACUGCUGAGCGUGGGAGGGGAGGCCUUCUCUGGAGGCACCAGCACCUUCACUGUCACU